rnacentral:rRNA from 13 species
GGGCCCGCACAAGCGGUGGAGCAUGUGGUUUAAUUCGAUGCAACGCGAAGAACCUUACCUACCCUUGACAUCCAGAGGACUUUCCAGAGAUGGAUUGGUGCCUUCGGGAACUCUGAGACAGGUGCUGCAUGGCUGUCGUCAGCUCGUGUUGUGAAAUGUUGGGUUAAGUCCCGUAACGAGCGCAACCCCUAUCCUUAUUUGCCAGCGAGUAAUGUCGGGAACUCUAAGGAGACUGCCGGUGACAAACCGGAGGAAGGUGGGGACGACGUCAAGUCAUCAUGGCCCUUACGGGUAGGGCUACACACGUGCUACAAUGGCAAGUACAAAGGGUUGCAAUACGGCGACGUGGAGCCAAUCCCAUAAAGCUUGCCUCAGUCCGGAUUGGAGUCUGCAACUCGACUCCAUGAAGUCGGAAUCGCUAGUAAUCGUGGAUCAGAAUGCCACGGUGAAUACGUUCCCGGGCCUUGUACACACCGCCCGUCACACCAUGGGAGCGGGUUUUACCAGAAGUAGGUAGCUUAACCGCAAGGAGGGCGCUUACCACGGUAUGAUUCGUGACUGGGGUGAAGUCGUAACAAGGUAGCCG